rnacentral:rRNA from 1 species
GACGUAGGGUGCGAGCGUUGUCCGGAUUUAUUGGGCGUAAAGAGCUCGUAGGCGGUCUGUCGCGUCGAAUGUGAAAACCCGGGACUCAACUCCGGGCCUGCAUUCGAUACGGGCAGACUAGAGUUCGGUAGGGGAGACUGGAAUUCCUGGUGUAGCGGUGAAAUGCGCAGAUAUCAGGAGGAACACCGGUGGCGAAGGCGGGUCUCUGGGCCGAUACUGACGCUGAGGAGCGAAAGCGUGGGGAGCAAACAGG